AUUUUAUGGAGAGUUUGAUCCUGGCUCAGGAUGAACGCUGGCGGCGUGCCUAAUACAUGCAAGUCGAGCGAACGGACGAGAAGCUUGCUUCUCUGAUGUUAGCGGCGGACGGGUGAGUAACACGUGGAUAACCUACCUAUAAGACUGGGAUAACUUCGGGAAACCGGAGCUAAUACCGGAUAAUAUUUUGAACCGCAUGGUUCAAAAGUGAAAGACGGUCUUGCUGUCACUUAUAGAUGGAUCCGCGCUGCAUUAGCUAGUUGGUAAGGUAACGGCUUACCAAGGCAACGAUGCAUAGCCGACCUGAGAGGGUGAUCGGCCACACUGGAACUGAGACACGGUCCAGACUCCUACGGGAGGCAGCAGUAGGGAAUCUUCCGCAAUGGGCGAAAGCCUGACGGAGCAACGCCGCGUGAGUGAUGAAGGUCUUCGGAUCGUAAAACUCUGUUAUUAGGGAAGAACAUAUGUGUAAGUAACUGUGCACAUCUUGACGGUACCUAAUCAGAAAGCCACGGCUAACUACGUGCCAGCAGCCGCGGUAAUACGUAGGUGGCAAGCGUUAUCCGGAAUUAUUGGGCGUAAAGCGCGCGUAGGCGGUUUUUUAAGUCUGAUGUGAAAGCCCACGGCUCAACCGUGGAGGGUCAUUGGAAACUGGAAAACUUGAGUGCAGAAGAGGAAAGUGGAAUUCCAUGUGUAGCGGUGAAAUGCGCAGAGAUAUGGAGGAACACCAGUGGCGAAGGCGACUUUCUGGUCUGUAACUGACGCUGAUGUGCGAAAGCGUGGGGAUCAAACAGGAUUAGAUACCCUGGUAGUCCACGCCGUAAACGAUGAGUGCUAAGUGUUAGGGGGUUUCCGCCCCUUAGUGCUGCAGCUAACGCAUUAAGCACUCCGCCUGGGGAGUACGACCGCAAGGUUGAAACUCAAAGGAAUUGACGGGGACCCGCACAAGCGGUGGAGCAUGUGGUUUAAUUCGAAGCAACGCGAAGAACCUUACCAAAUCUUGACAUCCUUUGACAACUCUAGAGAUAGAGCCUUCCCCUUCGGGGGACAAAGUGACAGGUGGUGCAUGGUUGUCGUCAGCUCGUGUCGUGAGAUGUUGGGUUAAGUCCCGCAACGAGCGCAACCCUUAAGCUUAGUUGCCAUCAUUAAGUUGGGCACUCUAAGUUGACUGCCGGUGACAAACCGGAGGAAGGUGGGGAUGACGUCAAAUCAUCAUGCCCCUUAUGAUUUGGGCUACACACGUGCUACAAUGGACAAUACAAAGGGCAGCGAAACCGCGAGGUCAAGCAAACCCCAUAAAGUUGUUCUCAGUUCGGAUUGUAGUCUGCAACUCGACUACAUGAAGCUGGAAUCGCUAGUAAUCGUAGAUCAGCAUGCUACGGUGAAUACGUUCCCGGGUCUUGUACACACCGCCCGUCACACCACGAGAGUUUGUAACACCCGAAGCCGGUGGAGUAACCUUUUAGGAGCUAGCCGUCGAAGGUGGGACAAAUGAUUGGGGUGAAGUCGUAACAAGGUAGCCGUAUCGGAAGGUGCGGCUGGAUCACCUCCUUUCUAA
rnacentral:rRNA from 1 species